CGUUCGAGCACUUAUACAGUCCUUAUGUUCAUUUUGAAGACCUGGCAACCAGAAUAUCAACAGAGUCCUGAUAAAUGAAAGCUUCGAGGAAUACAGGGCUUUCAUACCAGUGUGAAUAUCUCCGUAAUGUCUGCCCUGAUUUUGGUGAUGGAACAGCUUGUGUCCUGCUUGUCCAAUGGAAGAUGAUUAUCCAGUGAUAAUUUCAAUGGAUGGUAACUUUGGGCUUGUGCGGAAAAAGUCGUCUGGUGUCAGUUUUUCCGAGCCGAAGCAUGCAGGUCACUUCUUUUCUAAUCAGAGUGAGGUUGAUGAGUUUGUUCAAAAACAUAACAGAAGCAUGAAGAAAGCUGGCGACGCUUGCAGCAAUUUCAAGGGUGGAAAUACUUUGAGGACAAAUAGUCGAUACGAAAAAUUAGAUGAGACAGCAGUUUUUGGCUCGGCAUGUCGUCAUGAAGUGCCCGUCAUUAUGUUUAGCCUAAAACAUGGAGAGAGGUUCUGGUAGUCUUUUAGAUAGGUUGAAGCUGGCAAUUCCAAUAUUUCACUG